UACGGAGGGUGCAAACGUUGCUCGGAAUCAUUGGGCGUAAAGCGCACGUAGGCGCCUGAUAAGUCGGGUGUGAAAGCCCUGGGCUCAACCCAGGAAGUGCACUCGAAACUGUCAGGCUUGAAAUAUGGAAGAGGGUCGCGGGAAUUCCCGGUGUAGAGGUGAAAUUCGAUAGAUAUCGGGAGGAACACCAGUGGCGAAGGCGGCGACCUGGGCCCAAUAUUGACGCUGAGGUGCGAAAGCGUGGG
rnacentral:rRNA from 1 species